rnacentral:rRNA from 1 species
AUUGAACGCUGGCGGCAGGCUUAACACAUGCAAGUCGAGCGGAGAGAAGUAGCUUGCUACUGAUCUUAGCGGCGGACGGGUGAGUAAUGCUUAGGAAUCUGCCUAUUAGUGGGGGACAACAUUUCGAAAGGAAUGCUAAUACCGCAUACGUCCUACGGGAGAAAGCAGGGGAUCUUCGGACCUUGCGCUAAUAGAUGAGCCUAAGUCGGAUUAGCUAGUUGGUGGGGUAAAGGCCUACCAAGGCGACGAUCUGUAGCGGGUCUGAGAGGAUGAUCCGCCACACUGGGACUGAGACACGGCCCAGACUCCUACGGGAGGCAGCAGUGGGGAAUAUUGGACAAUGGGCGGAAGCCUGAUCCAGCCAUGCCGCGUGUGUGAAGAAGGCCUUAUGGUUGUAAAGCACUUUAAGCGAGGAGGAGGCUACUUUAGUUAAUACCUAGAGAUAGUGGACGUUACUCGCAGAAUAAGCACCGGCUAACUUUGUGCCAGCCGCCGCAGUAA